rnacentral:rRNA from 1 species
GACGAACGCUGGCGGCGUGCUUAACACAUGCAAGUCGAACGGAAAGGCCCUGCUUUUGUGGGGUGCUCGAUUGGCGAACGGGUGAGUAACACGUGAGUAACCUGCCCUUGACUUUGGGAUAACUUCAGGAAACUGGGGCUAAUACCGGAUAGGAGCUCCUGCUGCAUGGUGGGGGUUGGAAAGUUUCGGCGGUUUGGGAUGGACUCGCGGCUUAUCAGCUUGUUGGUGGGGUAGUGGCUUACCAAGGCUUCGACGGGUAGCCGGCCUGAGAGGGUGACCGGCCACAUUGGGACUGAGAUACGGCCCAGACUCCUACGGGAGGCAGCAGUGGGGAAUAUUGCACAAUGGGCGGAAGCCUGAUGCAGCAACGCCGCGUGCGGGAUGACGGCCUUCGGGUUGUAAACCGCUUUCGCCUGUGACGAAGCGUGAGUGACGGUAAUGGGUAAAGAAGCACCGGCUAACUACGUG